AGCGAACGCUGGCGGCAGGCCUAACACAUGCAAGUCGAGCGGCCGUAGCAAUACGGCAGCGGCAGACGGGAGAGUAACGCGUGGGAACGCGCCCUUCGGUCUGGAAUAAUCCAGGGAAACUUGGGCUAAUACCGGAUACGCCCUUACGGGGAAAGAUUUAUUGCCGAAGGAACGGCCCGCGUCUGAUUAGCUAGUUGGUGAGGUAACGGCUCACCAAGGCGACGAUCGGUAGCUGGUCUGAGAGGAUGACCAGCCGCACUGGGACUGAGACACGGCCCAGACUCCUACGGGAGGCGGCAGUGGGGAAUAUUGGACAAUGGGCGCAAGCCUGAUCCAGCCAUGCCGCGUGGGUGAUGAAGGCCCUAGGGUUGUAAAGCCCUUUCAGCGGGGAAGAUAAUGACGGUACCCGCAGAAGAAGCCCCGGCUAACUUCGUGCCAGCCGCCGCCGUAAAAC
rnacentral:rRNA from 1 species